UUUGAUCUUGAUAACUUAACUCAACAGUGCUCUUAAAAUAUGAUCAAGGAUUAAAGAUGCGAGACAUCCUCUUGAUGACAAAAACCUGUCCGGACCGCAGUAUCUUUUAUCCAAGUUUCUAAAAGAAGCUUCAUCUGGUGUUCAACAUCCCAAUCCUCGACGAUCUCUUUUCCCUGAACCAGCACAGAUGAAUAUUGAUCAACCUUGUGCACCUUCAUAUAUACAAAGCUGUUCUGAGAAGGAGAAGGAUGAUGUUGAGGAGAGUAAG